rnacentral:rRNA from 1 species
UACGUAGGGGGCUAGCGUUGUCCGGAAUCAUUGGGCGUAAAGCGCGUGUAGGCGGCCCGGUAAGUCGGUUGUGAAAGUCCAGGGCUCAACCCUGGGAUGCCGACCGAUACUGUCGGACUAGAGUUCGGAAGAGGCGAGUGGAAUUCCCGGUGUAGCGGUGAAAUUCGUAGAUAUCAGGAGGAACACCAGUGGCGAAGGCGGCUUCCUGGACACCAACUGACGCUGAGACG